GACGAACGCUGGCGGCGUGCUUAACACAUGCAAGUCGAACGGUAAGGCCCUUCGGGGUACACGAGUGGCGAACGGGUGAGUAACACGUGGGUGAUCUGCCCUGCACUUCGGGAUAAGCCUGGGAAACUGGGUCUAAUACCGGAUAGGACCACUGCCUGCAUGGGUGGUGGUGGAAAGCUUUUUCGGUGUGGGGUGGGCCCGCGGCCUAUCAGCUUUGUGGUGGGGUUGUGGCCUCCCAAGGCGACGACGGGUAGCCGGCCUGAGAGGGUGACCGGCCAAAGUGGGACUUAGAUACGGCCCAGACUCCUACGGGAGGCAGCAGUGGGGAAUAUUACACAAUGGGCGCAAGCCUGAUUCAGCGACGCCGCGUGAGGGAUGACGGCCUUCGGGUUGUAAACCUCUUUCAGCACCGACGAAGCGCAAGUGACGGUAGGUGCAGAAGAAGGACCGGCCAACUACGUGCCAGCAGCCGCAGUAA
rnacentral:rRNA from 1 species